GUGUUGCCGUAGGUGGUUCAGCCAACAGGAAGUCAGUGAUUACUAAAUAAAGGUUGAAAAGAAACUCGUUUUUUUGGAAAAUCUACCAAGUUGGUGUAGCAGUUUAAUCCCACUCAGGUCCUCCUUGCCAAUUAACCUUUGGGAGAGUGACAGUAGCUAAUUCAAUUAGACCGGACGGCUGCACAGCAGACUCAGGUCCUCAGCCAAAGGAAGCAUUCCUGUUGUUCUCCAGCUGUGAAGGUCCUGUCUUCAACUCUGAGACACAGACAAAAAUAGGAUUUAAAUAAGGGGCACCAAAAGCACAACCCCCACCACUAGCAUUGGGGGAUUUUACCCCAGGACCUACUAUAUGUCAGGUAAGAACUCACUGUCAUUCCCAUUGUUUUAUUUCAUAAUAAUAAUUUCUGAUAAAUACAGCUUGAAGAGCAUUACCACUCUGAGAAAUUAGUGCGACCAAAAUGUCAUGCAACUUUCAGAUUUUUUUUUUCCGACCACUAUUAAUGUCACAGACACAGUCAGUCUCACCAUAUUAACCAUUAAUGGAUUCAAGGAUGACAUCACAAAUGGGAUCAAUCGGUGCACCGCAGUGAUUUUCCCCUGUUUUCUCAAUCAGCACUUAAUGAAUGAAUAGUGUCUGCACUGAAAGCAUUAUUCAGUGUUCUCAUUUGAUGGGCCUUGCCAGACUUGAUUCAUUAAAGACUCUAAGCGGAGCUGGUAAUGCACUUCGCGGUCCGAUGAAGCGUUGGCGUCGACACUGAAGCCGACUCUUGGAUUAUCGCACAACUUUUUCAGCUUAAAACAACAAAAUCCUCCCGAGCAGCAAACAUUUCUUCAGCUAGUUCUAACGACAUCUAUUAAUAAUAUAACAGAGAGAAUGUAUUGCAGUUGACAUAGGUUCAAAUUCGAAGCAGUUUUUCGAAGACCUUCUGCUCGAUGUUUCUUCAUUUGUUUGUAGAGACCCGGCGGGAGAAAAAAAAAAAUCGUUUUCCUCAUUUACUGAUGACAGUGUUGCCACUUUUAGAAAGUGCAAAGUGUCCAGUACAUAAAACAAAAAUAGUACCGACUUACAGUCUUUGAGUCAUCCAAGGGUUGAAGUUAUUAAAUCCUGAACUCCAGCCAACUCCUUGUACAAAAAAUAUUCUCUUCGUUGAUCAAGCAAAACUCAUUUUAAUACCAGAACCUCGUUUUAUAUGCACAUCAAGCCCAUGCACCAUGUUACAACGUGGCACAAACGUAGACCUACACUCAGCUGCCACAAGGGGGUUCAUUCGGUAGUUCAUUUUUGAAACAUCGUUAACCACAGCUGCUAUACAUUAUAUGUUCUAUCUGCAUACACUUACACGCACCAGGAGUACUCUGAUCAGUGCCACGGUCACGUUGAGUUAUUAAGAAUCAGUGUUUCCCAAAGUGAGGGGCGGGGCCCCCCUUGGAGGUCGCAGUAUUGUCGCACAUGGGGCACAGCUGGUCAGCUUGACUUUUUUUUUUAAGCAUUGGGAAAAAUUAAGUGAUACAUAAUGAAUUUUCCUUACUUCUGCUGAGAUUAAUAAAGUAGACGUUUUGAUCAUUUUGGUCACAUAGAUAAAUAGCUAGCUAGAUUAAUAGAUGAUAGAUAGAUAGAUGGAUAGAUAGAUAGAUAGAUAGAUAGAUAGAUAGAUAGAUAGAUAGAUAGAUAGAUAGAUAGAUAGAUAACAAUCAUGUGACAAAUCAAACUCUUAAAUCUUGCCAAAAGUUAAUUGUGAAAUCUUAAUAUUCCCAGGCUCGUGGCAGGAGGCUGAUGAAAUGUCUAUUUGCCACAGGGCAAAUGCUGUUGUUUUGAUUUACAAACGCAAUUUGCUUCCAGCAACAAAACUUUGUCUUUGGUAGGAAAUGUAUUUAUUCUGCUAACAAUUUCCCUUUUUCUGUUUUGAUAAUCACAAAGCUUCUCAUCAUACUGAUAAAAAAAAAAUAAAAAAAAGUGGCGCACGUCAUGCAGCGUCCUCAGGCUCUGGGCUGAUGUAAUGUACUGGGAUUUGCCCAAAUCCAGUCGUUGCCUGGCAGAACGAGGAAACCUCUGCAGGAAUCUGGAACUGAAACAGUUUGUCCCAGUGUGAAACAUUAUGCUGUCGUUUUUCCUGCCUGUCAGCGUCCUCCUCCUCCUUCAGAUGCAUCAUGUUCUGGCUUCUCCUUUUAUCACCUCCAUCACAGCUCCUCAUCAUUUGUCAUUUUUGAUCUUUGGCUGUCUGUUUAGAUGGACUAACUUUACUGUGCGGCGUUUUUAACAAGGACAGGACCGAAGUCCAGCCCUUGACUUUAUUGUGCCACUGAGACAAGGUUGACAUCACCUCCAACAUCUUUACUGAAAUAUAUGAAAUAUUUACAGCCUGGGUGGAAAAUUCAAAAAUUCAAGUAUCCAAGGGCAUUGUUUUUUUGUUUUUUAUUAUUCUCAUUAUUUAGUAUUGAAUUUUAACUGAGACUGACUUUAUUAAUUGAGAAAAAAUAUUUUUGACAUCUAGGCAACGGCUAGGUUCACGGGCCAAAAGUAGCCCCCGAGCCAAGUGUUUGAGUCUCCGAUUAACCUAAUCCCCAUGACAUGACCCAACUAAUACAAUGUAGAGAACAUACCAUAGAGCAACCAUAGAGCAACAUACCAUAGAGCAAAUACCAUACAAAAAGAGCGGGUAUCAAAUGGGGGAACCAGUUCAGAUGGCCAAGGCCAAUUGAAAGGGAGUCGGGUUCAGAUCCCUGUGGAACUGUAGCAACAGAAGCUGCAAGUGCGAUAAAGCAUGUUUUUCUUUAGCCUUAUUCAUGAAAUUACACUGACAUGGGGAAUGUGAAUGUUACUUUUUCUACUUACAUACAUUUAAGCCAUAGUUUGCUAUGACUUAACCAGUAUUGAAAAGCAAUUAUUUUACAGCGAAACGUAUUUACUUUCAGUGGAUAUAUGUGCCACAAAUUAACAAUUAUUUGAACUUUCCUGAUCCCACAGUAGGAAAAAUCCUUAUGUUGUCAAGAGAUCUGCUGCAACAGGCUGCCCCUAGGAGGCGCCGCAUAUGUAAUUCCUCUGGGACCUGCUAACAAAGUAGCAGGUUUAAGUACAUCAUCGUAUUAAUUAUAAUUCCCUUAUUAUAAGGAAAAAUGUUAGCUUAUAGACACGGGUUCAAAAGUUCAUCUUUACCCUGACAGGAAGAUACAGUAUCACUGUAUCUUCCUUUUCACAGUCGACACCUCCGUCCAGUGUUUUUGUGUUUCUGUUACUCGGUGUUUUUACCCGACAGAUUUCUUUUUUCAUUAAUUCCAGCCACACUCGCUUUCAAUUUCUUCAGUGUCUCUACUCUGCAACCCUGUUGCACCGUACGGUGUUGUUUUGUUUUUCCCCUUUUGUUUGCCCGCCGACGUCCCUCUGUACUAGCUGCAUCCCUGCCUUUUUGCUCCCCCCCCUUUUCCUUUUUUCCAGAUCUCCCCUGGGUUCUCUGGUGAAGGAAAGUGUUUUGUCCUUCAAAUCCAAUUCCUGUCGCGGGGCCUCGUACAUGAUGUGCCUGCUGCUGCUGCCCAUUGUGUUAUCAGGGGAACAUUAAAAUCCAAUUAGCAAAGUUGUGUUGAAGCCUCGAACUUCGAAACUGCUGUACAUCACUGAAACGGUGAAUAUAGACUCGGUUACUUCAAAUUGGAAAAUGGUUUGGAGGAAAAUGAAAAACAAAAAAAAAUGUUUUUCAUUUUUUUGAGAUGUUUGCUUUUCCUAUUCUCACUCAUGCUGCCCUUAGGGUAACAACGUUGUUUUUAUGUUUUGAACAAGGGCAAAUUAAAUAACACCUCAGGGUCGUCUGCUCCCCCUGUGAUAGGACUGACGAUGUUAUGUGGAACACAACAAUGCUGUGUUUCAACUUCACGUGUUUCAUCAAUAACAGCAGUUUUCAUUUAGUUGGUUAUAAUAUUUAGCCAAAGCUAGCCAGUUAGCAAAAUUACAGCUUAAGUUAGAAUAAACAAUCCAAGAUGAUUAAUGCAUAGAUAUACAAAAAUAUUAACAUAUGUUUAUUAACAAAAAAUAAAAAAAUAAAAAUUCUAUUAAAACUACGAUUAGCCCUUUUUAAAAGGGAAAUGCUAAUGAUAGCAAAACCUGUUUAAAGUCAAAUUAGGCUCAGAAUAACUAGAUAGCUUGUAAAAGACCUAAUAUAGACAGCAAAAUGACUUACAAAUGAACAGAAUCUGACUGAAGCUUAUAUAGAUAAUCAUUUAAAUAAAAAAUAUAUAGCAAAAUUCAAUUCAAAAAGUUAAAUUCAAACUUUGCUGGAUGAUAGAACCAACAUUUUAGUAAUAAAAAGCUUCAAACCUCAAGUCACAUCACGAUUUAGAUUUGAUGAAAUAUGGCUAGCUACAGAAUGUGACACAUUUUUAAAAAAACUUCAGUUUGUAUUUUUUGAUGGCAUUAGCAUUUACUGAAAAUGGGAGUCGCAGCAUUGUGUUGACCUUUUAACCUGAGGUCGGGGGUUUGACGACAGCUGCAUGCCAAUGCAAAUAACGGGAAGUCUGCUGCUUGUCACUCCAGUAGAAAGCAGUCAGAAUCUUAAACACCAAAAAGGUCCAUGAAGCAUUUUCAAAAACAAAACCAUGUGGAGACGAUAACACUGAAUUCAUACAGGUCUUGGUGUUGUCUCUUUUCACAGAGAUAUGCGAAACACGGGUAGUAUUUUUUGGCCUUAAUACAAACAAAAAUGUAGAACCGCCACAGUGUCGGAGCUGACAAUGAUAGAUCACAAUAAUGUGGGUUGUUUCUUCUGUCACCAUGGUAGUGUGACCUGAGAAUACGACCGUGAAAGUACAUCAGUACAUCAGAAGAGUCUGACGUACGCUUGGGAGCCAUCAUGAAGGGCAAACAUUUCCCAGAAAACAACGUACAGUCGGCAACGUAAACAAAGCCGUCUUCUGCGUAUAGCAUCACGUGACUCUGCACGCCAACUAGUUCCUGUUGUUGCUUUAACGCCGUAUGUCAGAAUGAUGGAACAAGACUUUCUUAAUAAAUUUAUGGGAGACGGCGACGUAACCGUGAAACGCUGUAAGUCGAGGACGUCGUAAACUGAGGACCUCCUGUAUAGGCAAAAAACUAAAAACUACCUUUCCAAAAUCUACCUUUCCAAAUUUACACCAAUGGCCUUGAAGCCUAACAUUCCUUCCUGUUUAUCUCAGUAAAAAACAUCAUAUAAACGUUAUGCUCUGACUGAACGCUACAUUAGCAAACCCUCUCCUUUUUUGGAGCCUCCUGCAACCGACAACCUCCACAAAAAGCCCCAGAGAUGUGUGAAGAUAAAAAACUUUUUUUUUUCUCCCCCCCUCUCUUUUCAGUUCUCUGUCCUCAUCCUUUUGCCUUUGCACGCUCAUUUCCUCGGUGACUUGCUUUUAGAGAGGCAGUGUGAGUGUUUCAAUUACCUUAAUCAGAAAAAUCCCACGCCGUGAAAUCUAUAUAUAUAAAUGGAGAAUUACUGCGGCAUAAACAUAAUCACCCAAAUGUCAGCUGCGUUCCCUUCUAUUAUUCAUGUCCUUCAACUCUUUUGCCGCACCGUGGCAACUCUUUCUGGUCAGUUUUUUUUUUUUUUUUUUGUUUUCUUUGUCUCAUUUUCUGGAUUCUAUAGUGUCUUCGCAGCCACUGGGCUCUCUGUCUUUGUGACCUACUCAAACUUUCCGGGAGGUUCUUCUAGUGUCACUGCCUUCCACAGUCUGCUCUCUGCCCUGAAGUCACGCUCAAGGAAGCGCUGGAGGGAACUGGAGGCCUUUGUAUCCUCAGGGUUUCUUCUUGGCACAUUCAGACAUUCAAUAACUUCUACUGUUCCAAAUCCUUGCAGCUAGAAAAACUGUAUAAAAAAAAAAAAAAAUCCUCUUUAAACACAUGUGACACCAGCUGAGCACCACCGUUUUAUUUUUCCACGCCACUUUUAUUAGGACUUCUUUGAAAUCUUAAAACACCUACACGUCAUUCUAGAGAAUAAACACGAGUGCAAAUAUGUAACAAACAGAAAGUUUUUCCUUUUUUUUUUUUUUUUUUAAACACAUGCACUUUCACUCUGUUGGUGUAAGGUGUGCUCAUUACUUAAUGGGCUAAUCAGCUAUGUUUGUUUACACAGUGUGACUCGAUUUAAUUAGCGGCUCAAGUACAAACCCUAUUUACAUAUUAUAUAAAUAAAUAUAUAUAUAUAUGAGAAUUUUUUACUGAUUGGUCUGUACCAAUAUAACUAUUUUUUUAGUCCCAGUGACCAAUCAAACAGCUCAAAAUUUCAGGUUAGCCGUCUACCUACAGACAGGAAAGCUACCAGGAUGCCAAGCUGUCAGUGUCCUAUCAGAUCUGGCAUAGGACGCUCAACAUGUUUAUGUUUCAUUUUUGGAAAACAUGAACCAAAACUGAUAGUCAUGCCUGUAACACACUGUUAAGUUGCAUCCUAAGUUCCAGUUCUUUAAUACAGGAACACAAUCUCCCAGACCAACAGCCCGGGCUGUGGCUGUGUCAAAUUUAAACCAAACCUGAACAUCGGUAGUUUCAGGUCGUGGCCGAUGAGUAUGGCGGGCUUUUUUGGAGUUCAGUUUUAGAUCUAUGACAAGUACAAGUAUAAGUCGGCCAUUUUGGUUUGUUUUUUUCCGAGUGCACUUACAAGUAUGGUUUAAAAGACAUUUGUUUAUACUCAGGGGAGAAGCCAGAUGAUUUUAUUUUCCUUUUUUAAUACAUUAUUUAUUAUUUAACCUGAAAGUGGAGGCAAAGACUGUGUUCAUCUGAGUGUGAUUUGCAGCACACCACUCGUUCCUACCUGCCAUAUGUCAUUCUACCUGACUGCUCACCAGCCGCUUAAAAGCCUGUACGCUUACAUCAUCAUUCCACUGUGAUGAGCUCUCUGCCAGAAUGGACUGAGACAUCUGAUUUAGACGGGGAAACGCUGCAGACAGUAACCUAAACUCCGACUCAUUAGCCGAGGUAUUUGAUCCAAUGGAUACCGAUUACCUUCUUCCCUAAAGAAACAGCUGAGUUAUUUUCAGCAAGUACUCAGAUGGGUUGUACUAGUUACUCACUGUAUCUGACAAAAGUAUAAGAAAAAAAAAUAUUUGAGGGAGAGCUGUAGUUGAACUGUUUGGAGAUAGAGGUGGAGAAGAAAGGUUGAGAGGGUUUUGACAUUUGCUGUGCAGGAGUCGAACAUGAAGAACCCCAGAGAAGAUUUGCGAGUGUAGUAACGCCUUACAACAUUGUUGGAAAAGGGGUGAGAAGGGGGGGGGGAGGGGGGGGGUGAUGUACUGUGAGGAUACCUAUAAAAGCAGAACACACUGUGUUUGUUUUAUUAAACACUCCUUUUACAUAUCAGUUUUACAGUGUAAUCAAUUAAAACAGAGCGCCGUCAAAGCCCCGCAACGUGCGUGUUGACACAAACCACUCUCAAUCUUAAUGGCCACCAAUUUACUGGCUCUCAGCUCAUGUCGUCCAAGUCGAUAAAUAACCUCGGAAUUAACUCUCUCGGCUAACGAUGGGCUUUGAAUAUCUCUCUGACGAUGGGCUAAUAUUGACGCCGGCCUUAGGCCAUAAAUGUUACAAUUACAAAUGAAAUGUUGCGAGACAACAGCGUGUAAGGACAGUAAAUUCUUGAUGAGAGUCCAGGGUUUGUGUUGGGCUAGUAUCUGAGUACUACAUACCGGAGGAGUUUGGACUGGUCACAGCCUUCCGUACCGCCUUAAUUGAAGAGGAACCAAUAAACUAGCUUCGGACAGUUUUCAUAUCGGAAAGGUUUUUUGAGAAAAUUUAAAGAGAUUUCAAUGAAAUUUGUUUUGUUUAUAUCAGUGAUGAUGUUGUCUUCAUGCAAGCCAUUUAAAUCAGAACCACAACGGCGAC